rnacentral:rRNA from 1 species
UGGGGAAUAUUGGACAAUGGGGGCAACCCUGAUCCAGCAAUGCCGCGUGUGUGAAGAAGGUCUUCGGAUUGUAAAGCACUUUCGACGGGGACGAUGAUGACGGUACCCGUAGAAGAAGCCCCGGCUAACUUCGUGCCAGCAGCCGCGGUAAUACGAAGGGGGCUAGCGUUGCUCGGAAUGACUGGGCGUAAAGGGCGUGUAGGCGGUUUACACAGUCAGAUGUGAAAUCCCCGGGCUUAACCUGGGAGCUGCAUUUGAUACGUGUAGACUAGAGUGUGAGAGAGGGUUGUGGAAUUCCCAGUGUAGAGGUGAAAUUCGUAGAUAUUGGGAAGAACACCGGUGGCGAAGGCGGCAACCUGGCUCAUGACUGACGCUGAGGCGCGAAAGCGUGGGGAGCAAACAGGUUAGAUACCCUGGUAGUCCACGCUGUAAACGAUGUGUGCUAGAUGUUGGGUAACUUUGUUAUUCAGUGUCGCAGUUAACGCGUUAAGCACACCGCCUGGGGAGUACGGCCGCAAGGUUGAAACUCUAAAGU